CGUGUUCAGACUGGUUUGAUUUGUUGCUGCUGUUUUGCGGCAGCCGGCACGAAUCAGGGACAGUAGUGGUGGGAAUAGAGAUGACCACAGUCAAACCAGGCGCUGGGCACCAGGUGACAGGGUCACCGCAGAUGGACAGAGUGCAGCUAGUGAGAGGGAGGAGAGAGGAGAGAGAGAAGAGUCAUGAGGAGUUUUUGCGUGAUAAAGAGCAACGUGUACGGCAGCAGCUGGAGCAUUGUGCAGACAAACGAGGGAGGAAGAUGGAAGAGCAGAAAAGAAGGGAGGAGGAGAGGAGGGCAGCAGUGGAGGAGAGGA